UCAGAUGAUGAGUUAAAACUGUU
rnacentral:piRNA from 1 species